CGACCCAGUCAUUUAUGAAAAUUAAAGUAAAUUAAUAAAGUAGCGACAGUUCUACAGGAAAUACAACAUUUACAAAAACCGAAAACGAUUUUGGUUUUCGUUUAAGGUCUUUGCAGUUAAAAUCAUAUGAUUUUUUUCUCCAGGAAAUAUGGACUUAUUCUGGACUUAUUCAAAACGACUUUUUAAAACUCGUAAUAGAUCCAGUUUUCUUAAAAUAAAAAGCGUGUUCAAUUUUAAACACUAAAUUACAAGUGAUACUACUACAGCCAGUGGACAACUACGACGUCUUUUGCAAGCAAUCGAAUCACUUUUAUUGCACAAAGCUAAGUUGUGUUUUUCCAGCCAAAGGAUUCUGAUUCAUUACAUUGUCUUGGAAAUUUCAUAAUUUCGGGUGCUUGUCUAUUUAUGCUGUUGUGUGGAAGGCAAUGAAUUACACUCAUCCAGAUAAAUACAAUAGUCCAACCAAAGUAAAUUAAUAAACUAGCAUCACUUGAACAGCUGACUAUUUAACUAUACCCUACAAGAACAGUGACAGUCACAUGACCGGUCAUUUCCCUACAAGAACAGUGACAGUCAUAUGACCGGCCAUUUGACUCACACUACUGAAGGAAAUAUCGAUCAUCCCACUUGACCACGGCUAUCGAUAAUGAAAUCACCAUCGAAGUUUUCUCAAUAAUUUCUCGGGUAAAACAUUCGAAAACGGCUAUCGAAAGCAACAAGAGAAUGUGCUCCUAGAGCUCACCUGUCGCUCAGUUUGUGGCAGCAAAUCUUUCGAUCUCGAAGUUUCGCUUACGAUAUCAAUGACGAGUAUUUAGCAAUAUUA